GGGUGUAUGGUUUUAGGGGGGGACUGGAACUGUACAGUAGAUUUUACUGUUGAUCACACUGCUGAAGAACCUCAUCUGCGGUCAGCUACUUGUCUGUCCGGUCUUCGAACUGAGUUUGAGCUUUCUGAUGUGUGGAGAAUGAAGGAAUGCAACCGUUAGGCAGUACACAUGGUUAAAGGUUAAUGAAGGUCGUGUCAGUGCAGCAAGGUUAGACAGGUUGUAUGUAUCUGAUCACUACUGUAGUAGGGUUGGAAGGUUAGACAGGUGGUAUGUAUCUGAUCACUACUGUAGUAGGGUUGGAAGGUUAGACAGGUGGUAUGUAUCUGAUCACUACUGUAGUAGGGUUGGAAGGUUAGACAGGUGGUAUGUAUCUGAUCACUACUGUAGUAGGGUUAGACAGGUGGUAUGUAUCUGAUCACUACUGUAGUAGGGUUGGAAGGUUAGACAGGUUGUAUGUAUCUGAUCACUACUGUAGUAGGGUUGGAAGGUUAGACAGGUGGUAUGUAUCUGAUCACUACUGUAGUAGGGUUGGAAGGUUAGACAGGUGGUAUAUAUCUGAUCACUACUGUAGUAGUGUUGGAAGGUUAGACAGGUGGUAUGUAUCUGAUCACUACUGUAGUAGGGUUGGAAGGUUAGACAGGUGGUAUAUAUCUGAUCACUACUGUAGUAGGGUUGGAAGGUUAGACAGGUUAGACAGGUGAUAUGUAUCUGAUCACUACUGUAGUAGGGUUGGAAGGUUAGACAGGUGGUAUAUAUCUGAUCACUACUGUAGUAGGGUUGGAAGGUUAGACAGGUGGUAUGUAUCUGAUCACUACUGUAGUAGGGUUGGAAGGUUAGACAGGUGGUAUGUAUCUGAUCACUACUGUAGUAGGGUUGGAAGGUUAGACAGGUGGUAUGUAUCUGAUCACUACUGUAGUAGGGUUGGAAGGUUAGACAGGUUGUAUAUAUCUGAUCACUACUGUAGUAGGGUUGGAAGGUUAGACAGGUUAGACAGGUGGUAUGUAUCUGAUCACUACUGUAGUAGGGUUGGAAGGUUAGACAGGUGGUAUGUAUCUGAUCACUACUGUAGUAGGGUUGGAAGGUUAGACAGGUUGUAUGUAUCUGAUCACUACUGUAGUAGGGUUGGAAGGUUAGACAGGUGGUAUAUAUCUGAUCAUUACUGUAGUAGGGUUGGAAGGUUAGACAGGUUGUAUGUAUCUGAUCACUACUGUAGUAGGGUUGGA